UUCAAAUUUCAGUUUUUCUUGAUCGCGAAAAUGCCACCAAAAUUCUUACCCGUCCAAAGAGAUAUAACUCAGGGAAACUGGAAGAGUUUGUUCAGGGAAACCUUGAGAGAGAGUGCAUAGAAGAAAGAUGCAGUUUUGAAGAAGCACGAGAAGUUUUUGAAAACACUGAAAAAACUACUGAAUUUUGGAAGCAGUAUGUUGAUGGAGAUCAGUGUGAAUCAAAUCCUUGCUUAAAUGGUGGAAUAUGCAAGGAUGAUAUUAAUUCCUAUGAAUGUUGGUGCCAAGCUGGAUUUGAAGGAAGGAACUGUGAAUUAGAUGCAACAUGUAGCAUUAAAAAUGGCAGGUGUAAGCAGUUUUGUAAAAACAGCCCUGAUAACAAGAUAAUUUGUUCCUGCACUGAGGGAUACCAACUUGCAGAAGACCAGAAGUCCUGUGAACCAGCAGAUUUCCACAGGUCAUUCUAAAUGGUGAAAUUGAGGCAUUCUGUGGAGGCGCCAUCAUUAAUGAAAAAUGGAUUGUAACUGCUGCCCACUGUCUUAAACCUGGUGAUAAAAUUGAGGUUGUUGCUGGUGAACAUAAUAUUGAUGAGAAGGAAGACACAGAACAAAGGAGAAAUGUGAUUCGAACUAUCCCUCAUCACCAGUACAAUGCAACUAUUAAUAAGUAUAGUCAUGACAUUGCCUUGCUGGAACUGGAUAAACCUUUAAUACUAAACAGCUAUGUAACACCUAUCUGUGUUGCCAAUAAGGAAUAUACAAAUAUCUUCCUCAAGUUUGGUUCUGGUUAUGUGAGUGGCUGGGGGAAAGUCUUCAACAAAGGGAGACAGGCUUCCAUUCUUCAGUACCUUAGAGUUCCACUGGUUGACCGAGCCACAUGCCUUAGGUCCACAAAAUUCAGCAUCUAUAACAACAUGUUCUGUGCAGGUUACCGUGAAGGAGGCAAAGAUUCAUGUGAAGGAGAUAGUGGGGGACCCCAUGUUACUGAAGUAGAAGGGACAAGUUUCUUAACUGGCAUUAUUAGCUGGGGUGAAGAAUGUGCAAUGAAAGGCAAAUAUGGAAUAUAUACUAAGGUUUCCAGGUAUGUCAACUGGAUUAAGGAAAAAACAAAGCUAACUUAAUGAAAAACCUAAUUCCAAAGGCAAUUCGCUGGGAUUGAACAUGGAUGAUUCCUUUGCAAACUAGUCUUUGCACUGUUUGCUAAACUUCAAUACAUAUGCUCUAUAAAUACUGAUUUUUCUCUGUGCAGGGGACAAGCCCAUGUAGGAUCUAUAUUGUAUUAGAUUAAGUAGGUUAGCAAAUAUAAUCGCUAAAGAAAUACUUUAGUAAGAGAUUAACCAGUUCUGCAAGCCCAGUCCUUAUUAAAAUUUUAAAAUUAGAAAGUGUAGCUCCCCAUGUUGCCCAUAAGACAUGAUGGUUCUUGAUGUAGAGAUGUACCCAAUUCUCCCUCCUUGGUAUCAGUUCAUAUUUUAGAUCUUCCUCACCUCUCUCAAAUUUAUUGGUUUUCUGUCCAGAAUCUUUAGCUCGUUUAAGGCCAGAAGAAAGCAGGAACAACUGAUACAUUAAAACUCAUCAAAAGCAUGACUUCCUCUCUUGAUUUUCCCGAAUCCUGUAUCUUUUUCAACUCCCAAUCCACAAAUCACUGUCCCGUCCAUCAUUCUCACCCUCUAGUUCUCCAUCAGCUUUGAAAGAGGAAGAGGUGUGAGUUCCAGGACAGUCAGGAGUACAGAGAAAUCCUGUCUUGAAAGAAAAAAGAAAGAGAGGGGCAGGGAGGAAGGAAGGAAGGAAGAAGGAAGGAAGGAAGAAGGAAGGAGAGAAAGAAUGAUUAAUUUAGUCAUAUUGGUAUAUAUAUAUAAACACC
rnacentral:lncRNA from 1 species